CAACAACAACCACCAGAUCUGAAGCUAGUCACCAACAACCCACCACCAGAUCUAAAUCUUGUCCCCAUUUUCAACUACCACCGCUGUCAUCACCUCCUGCCACCACCACUAGCUGCCGCCACCCCCUGCCAUCGCCACCUCCUGCCACCGCCACCUCCUGCUACAACCAUCAAGCACCCCACACUCCCUCUCUACAUCUGACGCCCACGCUACCAAUAUUGCAGUACACCCCUCGCCGCCGCAUCUAGAAAACGGUUGGUUGUUUCCCCCAAAGAAACUGGUGGCAAACGUGUGGGGGUUUGGACAACAGUUCAGAUGUGGGUGAGAGAGGUGCGGUGGUGGUGAUAUGAGCGUGGAUUCACCAUCGCAGAUCUGAUAUGUUGUAGUGUUUGGAUUCACCAUCGCAGAUCUAUUGGGCUCACAGAUUCACCAUCGAAGAUCUGAUCAGUGUGAGAGAGGGAAUGGUGGGGGAGAAAAGACAGGUUUCGCAUCGAGGGGACAUUUAAUUUAGAGAAAGAUGGUGGUGAUGAUGGUUAGCGGCAGAUGGCGGUGGUAAUAACCGGUGGUGGUGGUUGUUUUAAUUUAGAGAGAGGGUUUAAAGAGGAGGAAAU